rnacentral:rRNA from 1 species
GACGAACCGUGCGAACGUUAUUCGGAAUCACUGGGCUUAAAGCGCGUGUAGGCGGGACGGCACGUCGGUCGCUGAAAUCCCCCGGCUCAACCGGGGAACGGGCGCCGGACUGACGACCCGCCUGGAGGGACGUAGGGGGACCUGGAACUUCCGGUGGAGCGGUGAAAUGCGUUGAGAUCGGAAGGAACGCCCGUGGCGAAAGCGAGGUCCUGGACGUUUACUGACGCUGAGACGCGAAAGCCAGGGGAGCCGAACGGG